UUUCCCUUAGAAAAAACUUUUUUUUAAUUUUGUGUUCAAAACUAUAACUCUUAUCUUCUUUUAUCACCACUCCAGAAAGAAAAACUCAAAAAUGUUGCAAAUUAAAUCCUUCCUCUCAUGUAAUUUCACGCGCCUCUCAGCCACUAAAUCACACGCGCCGCCGUCAUCAGUAUUUUUCUCAUCCAAUUACCUCUCCACUCUCACUUUCCCUCCCAACCCCACCAUCCCUUUCACUCCAUUUCACAAUUCCCUUCACAAAUCCAACCCCACGCGCCGUCCCACUAAUUCACACGCGCCUCCGUCGUUGGUAGCUGAAGCUGUCGUUUACGGCGAUGAAACAACCGAAGCGCCGCCGGAUGAAGGACCCAUUGAGCUCCCUUCUGCAAUAAGGGAUGUAUUUGCUACUAAUGAUGACCCUUCACCACUUCAAACUGCUACUAGUCUUCUACUCACCGGAGCUAUUUCGGUUUUCCUCUUCCGGUCAGUCCGCCGCCGUGCUAAACGUGCUAAAGAACUGAAACUAAGGUCAACGGGAGCGAAGAAAACGUUGAAGGAGGAGGCAUUGGAGAGUUUGAAAGCUAUUACGCCAACACCAAUCGAUGCCAAGACGCCACCUUCACCUGCUCAGGCAUUGUUGGGAGCUUUAACAGCGGGAAUUAUUGCACUUCUCCUUUACAAGUUCACCACCACCAUCGAAGCUUCUCUUAAUCGCCAAGCGCUUUCAGAUAAUUACUCGGUUCGCCAGAUAACAAUAACGCUUAGAACUAUUAUUAAUGGAAUAUGCUACCUCGCAACAUUUGUCUUUGGCAUCAACUCUUUCGGUUUGUUCCUUUAUUCUGGUCAACUUGCCUUGAACUCUUUCAUGGGAGAUUCUGCUAGCGGAGAAACUAAGAAUAAAGGUGAAGCAGCGUUGAGUUCAAAGGAUUCAACACCAGUUCGUCCAGUAGAUGGCACUGAAGAGAACAAAGAUGAUGGCAACAAAACUUCCGAGGAUACAAAAUAGUGGAAGAAUGCGACUUAGAACUGAAACACCAGGUGGUGCAUGGCUGUCGUCAACUCGUGCCAUAAGGUGUUGGUGAUAGUAAGAUAUCCAAGUUUUCCCACAAGCUCGCGACUCUAAUAGAAAAAAAGGCCAGACAUAAUCAGUUUAUGUGCACGAGACAGGUUCGGAUCAGGCUAUAUUAGGCCAGCAGCGCAAAGGUGUUCGAUUGGUUAAGGCCGGAAGACCAUAUGUUCGAUCUUUGAUAGUGAAAUGUAACGCGAGGAGUGAUGAUAUUCCUCUUUUCAGUGAAGUCGAAAUGAUUGUACUACAUGCAUCCUCAGCCUGUUCAUGAAGUUACAGCGCAACGUAUAAAUGCCAGUCAGAAGUUGUAGGUAGGGAUAUUGAAGAGUAGAUAGUGUGAAGUUCAUAAUUGAUCUUGUAUGUUGUGCAUUUCUACAUUCUUCUAGUUGCAAUGCUUGUGAAGUCCUCUUGUUUGUGUUCCUUUUUAGGCACAGGCUUAGAAAGUUAUCAUCACCUCAACAACUUCUCUCUUUACUGUAGUUUUCACAGUCAACAACCGUGGUCUCCGGACACGGUUGAUUCAGAAUUUGAAAUUUAUGAGUUCGAGCGUGAAAUUCUACUACUACCCAUUUUAUUUACUAAAGUUUUAAGGUGUA